UGAAGCAUAGGAAUGCAAACUGCUUGUAACUCCCUUAUCUUUCCAGUCUGCACCAGCUCUGGGGCCCUUUCUCACUGCCUAAGGCUUCAGCAAAUUUAGCUACUCAUGCUAAGCAAGUUUUAUAGAAGUUGUGCUAAGUGGCAAUAAUUUACAGUCCAGGUCCCAAAGUCUCUGCCUGAUCGUGCCCUGUUUUGGCACAGGCUCGGUGUGUCCCAGGUGGUCGCAGAGAGGCAAUUUCGGGGGUCGCAGCAGCUCAGUCCUGUUUCCACCGGGAACAGAUGGCUUGUUCGGGAUUAUGGUUUGCUUGCACCUUAUGUACCAAGAAAUGUUUAAGGCAAAAGUUCACUCAUCUGUCUGCCACAGACUGCUCCUUUUUGCAUUGUUUUUUAUCAUCUGUGGUUUAUUUUUGUUUUUUUUUUUGAUUCCAGCUAUCUCUUUUGCUGUGAUGCAAGCUCUCAGAAGCAUGAACUCCAUGUUCAGGCCAGCACCCAAAAGUAAGAAAGAAAACUUUAGCUACUGCUGACUGAGUGAUAAUAAAAAUAUGCUGAAUGUGAACUGUCAGUGCUUUAGAGGGAAGGUAGUGCUGCUAUCACACCACUUACACUAGGAAUAUAAAGACUGAAAGUGUCUACAGCCAGUGCCAAGGCCAGGUAUCCAAAGAGAGUAAAGGGGAAAAGGAGAUCAUUUGGACUGACUUGAGAGAAGAGCAAUUUGGCAAUUUCUAUUCUGUAUGCAGAUGCUGGAAAGCAGCACAAGCUAACUGAACACCACUAUCGUUUGGAGUCUUCCUACAGCACAGUAAGCCUGAGACAUGAUAGAGCAUGGAAAAGACUGGAGAUCUCAUGGGGGAGGUGAGACAGAGUUUCUUCAGCAUUCAGUGGAGUUAAACUGGACAGGAUGGCACCUGUGCUCCAAGCCCUGUUGCCAAAGUAGAAAACAAAUCUCAUUUUCAUCUCUGAAUUCAUAUCAGAAUUGAAUUAUCGAUAUUUCCACUGGCUCAUGGGCAAGAGCAAAAAGUACAUUUUGCUGUGAAGGUGAGGAGUGCAUAUUGAUUUGAAAUAGGAGAUUCAACAUGUUUCAUAUCUUUUCAUAUAAAAUGCUUUCAUUUUGUUGUAAGCAGAGAUGAACUGAAGCAUUGACAUUUGGAUCUGGAUGAUGUUUAGGCUUCUGAUUUUAGCUCUGACCCUUAUUCAAAAGCACAGAAUGGAUUUGCACUGAAAAAUUUGAAUUCA